rnacentral:pre_miRNA from 1 species
GGCGCCCUGGGGAAAUGUAGUAGACUUUAAGUAUACGUGUGGAACUGGAGAGUAUACUAAGUACACUACGUUUAUCCAGGGG